AACGAAUGUUCGCGGCGCGCCUAACACAUGCAAGUCGAGCGAGAAAGGGCUUCGGCCCCGGUACAGCGGCGCACGGGUGAGUAACACGUAGGCAAUCUGCCCCUGAGUGGGGGAUAACCUUCCGAAAGGAGGGCUAAUACCGCAUGAGACCACGACCCCGCGAGGGGAUGAGGUCAAAGCCGGCCACUUCAUGAAAGCGGGCGUUUGGGGAUGAGCCUGCGGCCCAUCAGCUAGUUGGUAGGGUAAUGGCCUACCAAGGCAUAGACGGGUAGCUGGUCUGAGAGGAUGAUCAGCCACACUGGAACUGAGACACGGUCCAGACUCCUACGGGAGGCAGCAGUGGGGAAUCUUGCGCAAUGGGCGAAAGCCUGACGCAGCGACGCCGCGUGAGUGAUGAAGGCCUUCGGGUUGUAAAGCUCUGUGGAGGGAGACGAAUAAGGCAUGGCUAACAUCCAUGUUGAUGACGGUAUCCCUUUAGCAAGCACCGGCUAACUCUGUGCCAGCAGCCGCCGUAACAC
rnacentral:rRNA from 1 species